rnacentral:rRNA from 1 species
CCUACGGGCGGCAGCAGUGGGGGAUAUUGCACAAUGGGGGAAACCCUGAUGCAGCGACGCCGCGUGAGUGAAGAAGUAUUUCGGUAUGUAAAGCUCUAUCAGCAGGGAAGAAAAUGACCGUACCUGACCAAAAAGCCCCGGCUAACUACGUGCCAGCAGCCGCGGUACUACGUAGGGGGCGAGCGUUAUCCGGAUUUACUGGGUGGAAAGGGAGCGUAGACGGUUAUGUAAGUCUGGAGUGAAAGCCCGGGGCUCAACCGCGGGACGGCUUUGGAAACUGUGUAACUGGAGUACAGGAGGGGCAGGCGGAAUUCCUGGUGUAGCGGUGAAAUGCGUAGAUAUCAGGAGGAACACCGGCGGCGAAGGCGGCUUGCUGGACUGAAACUGACGUUGAGGCUCGAAAGCGUGGGGAGCAAACAGGAUUAGAUACCCCUGUAGUC